AAAUCCUUUUUUCCCCAGUUCAAAUCCGGGUGUCCCCU
rnacentral:tRNA from 2 species